rnacentral:rRNA from 1 species
UACGUAGGGUGCGAGCGUUAAUCGGAAUUACUGGGCGUAAAGGGCGCGUAGGCGGCCUUCUAAGUCGAACGUGAAAUCCCCGGGCUCAACCCGGGAACUGCGUCCGAUACUGGAAGGCUUGAAUCCGGGAGAGGGAUGCGGAAUUCCAGGUGUAGCGGUGAAAUGCGUAGAUAUCUGGAGGAACACCGGUGGCGAAGGCGGCAUCCUGGACCGGUAUUGACGCUGAGGCGCGAAAGCCAGGGGAGCAAACGGG